CCCACCCAGUGCCAACUCAACACGGUACCGUGCAACAUGGUGAGUCCGGCUGUACGUUACUGGACGAAAUGUCAGAUCCUGUACACAUCUCGCGUAUAUAUUGAUGUGCAGCAUGUGAAAAGUGCUGUCCUGAAGUAUGAAGACUUCAAAUGCUGCAGUCAUCCAGACUUUAAACAACAAGAUAAGAAAGGCAGUGACUCAUCAAAAUGACGCCACACACAUUGUCACACGAUUCACUUAUAAAAGAGAAAAGGUAAUAAAAUCAUGAAUUAUAAUCUCUCAGGAUUUAUACCUUCGCAAC